GUUCUUUCUGCAGGGAGGCGUGGAACAGAACGUCAGUUUUACUGGGGACUCCUGGACACCCUCUCCACACACCGGAAUGGCUUCCUCUUCUCCCUGCUUCCAGCACUCCCGUGUUUAUGACAGGUCGGGUAGGGGAGCUUCAAGCAGGCCAGGAGGAGCAUAGAACAUGGACCUAGGUGUCCCCAAGGAGACAUUCUCAUACAGUAACUGCCCUCCCUGCACAUAGAGGACUACCCCUGCUAGCUCACCCCAGCCUUCGACAUUCUCCUACCAGACUCCACGUCCCCAGAUCAGCCUGUCACGUUGCGGGAAGGCAGCUCAAAGGCCACGGAGGGUUCCGGGUUGGAUUUUACCACACACAGGCACUGCACGGUGUCUCUGGCCGCUGCACAGUGCGAUUCCAGAAGGAUUAUGGGAGCAACUGCAAGAUUAAAAGCAAGGCUAAAGGCCCUUGUGCUUGGAAACAGUCAUAAGGAGAUUAAAGAGAUAGAAAAUGGAAGGACCCCAGAAGGACACUCAUUCCCACUCUGUACCUGAUGAGGACAUCACAGUUCCCUCUGCACACAAGCUCUCCUAAUAGAUACCUGACUCAGGCCACUGUGACAUCCAACAGGUACCAACAUGCCAUCCAAGGAUUCUUCCUAUUUUUUCUUUCUUUCUCCACUCCCUGCCCUGCCACCCUUUUGGGUUUUGAGAUGGGCUUUCUCUGUAGCCCUGGCUCUCCUAGAACUCACUCUGCAGACCAGGCUGGCCUUGAAGUCACAGAGAUCCACUUGCCUCUGCCACCCGAGUGUUGGGAUUAAAGGAGUGCACCACUGUGCCUGGCCCCAAGGAUUCUUUCUUCUUUGGAAUCCCAAUCCAUGUGAGUCACAGGACUUGGGAUGUGCCUUGUGAGAGACUCCCCUGCCUCUGCUUUUGGGGUGACUCCAGCCUGGAUAUGAGACAAAACAGCUGUGUUUUUCCAUCUGUGCCAUCUCUAACUUUGGUCAUGGCCUCUGAUCAUGAUGGUUGGAGUAAUGUUUUCCUGAGGGGACCAAUGGACUUUGGUCGUUUGACCUAUUCAAGCUACAGCCUCCUUUGGCAAGUUCCUUCCUUCUCCCCUGCCCCUCACCUUGCUUCCUCACCUGGGGACCCCUUGAAUCUCCGUCCCUUUCCUCAUUACCAUCAACAUCCCUCUCCUGCUCUCAUAGCUUUACAUGAGAGUACAUCUAGUCUUUUUUUUUUUUUUUUUCCGGAGCUGGAGACCGAACCCAGGGCCUUGCGCUUGCUAGGCAAGCGCUCUACCACUGAACUAAAUCCCCAACCCUAUAUCUAGUCUUGAAUGGGUUUCUGUCCUCGUUUCCCCAGUAUAAAUGUUACAUUAGAACAGUGAGUGGUGCCUUUUGUUCAUCUGGUUUUGAAACAGAGUCUUGUUAUAUAACUCUGAAUAGCCUGGAACUCUCUGUGGUUCUCUGUCUCCCAAGAGCUAGGGCUUAUAGGCUUGAGCCACCAUGCCCAGCUAAAUGAUGCAUUUGUGUGUGUGUGUGUGUGUGUGUGUGUGUGUGUGUGUGUGUGUGUGUAAGAGAAUUGUGAUAUGUGCAGUUAUGUGGAGUUGUGCAUCAUGGGUGAAUGCCUAUGUGAGUGUCACAGAAUGACACUAGGUGCAUUUCUCUAUCGCUUAACAUUUUGAGACAGUGUCUCUCCCUAAUACUGGAGCUCACCAACCGGCUAGCCAGCAGUCCCUGGAAUCCUCCUGUCUCUGUUCCCAGUACCCAGAUUACUGGUACAUAUUUCUUUUAACCCUGUGCAUAGGAUUUGAAUUCAGGUCCUUGUGCUUAUGCAGAAGCACAUAACCCACUGAGCCACCUCCUCAGCCCCUAAAUUACGCUUUUAAAACUAUGUUCUUUAAGCUAUCUGACACCUCUCUGCCGGUUCUAGACCAAGCUGGUACUGAGUGAAUUCUGGCCCAAAUCUGCUCACGCAGGCCAAAGACCAUCAGCUCGUUGACUCCACCCACUUUUAAGCCCAAAGCAAUGGGCCAGUAACAAUGGUGGGCAGCAAGUCCCAGGAGCAGAUAAAUGUGCACCAGGGCUGGGUAACUCCGGCUGGAGCCUCAGUGCACAUCUCUGCAAAGCUAAAGCGGAGAGGGACCACGCAUGCGCACUCUGCCCGCUGUACCGGUGAGCAAUCAGUUCAGCUCAAGGCACUGAGUACAACUGAGUCUGAACAAAACGGACGAUCCUAGAACAUUUCUGAACCGCUCCCAUCCAGGACAUCACAACCAGCAUGCUGGUGACAAGUGUCCACUCCAGAUGUUCGAGUGCUGGUGCCCUGCCUAUGUGCGGAUUCAGUAUCUUUCCAGCUUCCCAGAAGUUUCAGAAGUAAAUUUGGGGGUACCUGACUUUGGCAUCCCAACUCUGCCAUCUACUGGCUGAGUGCGGCCAGUGAGUCUUCAAGAUGGAGAAGUAAAGGUGAAGGG